GCCACCUCCGGCUGGCCUGGGUCGAGGAUGAGGCGGAAGAGAUCAGUCUCCCCGUCCCAGACAAGGUGGUCCAGCUGAUGGAGACAGAUCCCAAUCCUGAUGCCACCUUCCUUUGGUAUUCAGCGGAAGAGGGCCAGGAGAUGAGUGGGGAUGCUCAGGAAGAGUUAGGAGAGGAGCGGGACAAAGAGCGUGUGAGAGAUCUG